rnacentral:rRNA from 1 species
AUUGAACGCUGGCGGCAGGCCUAACACAUGCAAGUCGAACGAGAGGCGGACGGGUGAGUAUUGUAUGGGGACUGCCCGAUAGAGGGGGAUAAAUACUGGAAACGGUAGCUAAUACCGCAUACGCUAGGAUAACCCACAUGGGAUUAGCUAGUAGGUGAGGUAAUGGGUCACCUAGGCGACGAUCCCUAGCUGGUCUGAGAGGAUGAUCAGCCACACUGGGACUGAGACACGGCCCAGACUCCUACGGAGGCAGCAGUGGGGAAUAUUGCACAAUGGGCGCAAGCCUGAUGCAGCCAUGCCGCGUGUAUGAAGAAGGCCCUAGGGUUGUAAAGUUCUUUCAGUCGGGAGGCGUUACCGACAGAAGAAGCACCGGCUAACUCCGUGCCAGCAGCCGCGGUAAUUC